CACGUAGGGGGCGAGCGUUGUCCGGAUUUAUUGGGCGUAAAGAGCUCGUAGGCGGCUCGGUAAGUCGGGUGUGAAAACUCUAGGCUCAACCUAGAGACGCCACCUGAUACUGCUGUGGCUAGAGUCCGGUAGGGGAGCAUGGAAUUCCUGGUGUAGCGGUGAAAUGCGCAGAUAUCAGGAGGAACACCCGUAGCGAAGGCGGCACUCUGGGCCGAUACUGACACUGAGGAGCGAAAGCGUGGGGAGCGAACAGG
rnacentral:rRNA from 1 species